rnacentral:rRNA from 1 species
UACAGAGGGGGCAAGCGUUGUUCGGAAUUACUGGGCGUAAAGGGCGCGUAGGCGGCCCGCUAAGUCGAACGUGAAAUCCCCAGGCUCAACCUGGGAACUGCGUCCGAUACUGGCAGGCUUGAAUCCGGGAGAGGGAUGUGGAAUUCCAGGUGUAGCGGUGAAAUGCGUAGAGAUGCGGAGGAACACCGAUGGCGAAGGCAGCCCCCUGGGCCGACAUUGACGCUCAGGCACGAAAGCGUGGGGAGCAAACAGG